CACGUAGGGUGCGAGCGUUGUCCGGAAUUAUUGGGCGUAAAGAGCUCGUAGGCGGUGUGUCGCGUCGGCCGUGAAAACCUGCAGCUUAACUGUGGGCUUGCGGUCGAUACGGGCAUCACUGGAGUUCAGCAGGGGAGACUGGAAUUCCUGGUGUAGCGGUGAAAUGCGCAGAUAUCAGGAGGAACACCGGUGGCGAAGGCGGGUCUCUGGGCCGAUACUGACGCUGAGGAGCGAGAGCGUGGGGAGCGAACAGG
rnacentral:rRNA from 1 species